rnacentral:lncRNA from 1 species
UAGAUCCUCAUUUCCAAUAAUAUGUAAGCAAAUAUCAAAAGUAAACUAGAGUAACUAACAUCCAUUUGUUGUUGAUGGUCACAGUUUACAAAACAUAUAACAAUAAAAGAAAAUUAUAAUAAAGUGAAAUGUAGAUAAGUGAGAGAAAAUCAAAAAUUUACUUAGAAAGAAAUUAGGAUUUUAUUAAUGCUACUUCAAUGCUCCAAAUGAUCUCCACUCUAAAAAUUAAAUAUGCCAAUAGAUUCUUUGAGCUUCUUUUUCAUAAAUUGAUUAAAAAAUAAUCAAAAUUUGGAUUCUAUAUGAACUUGAAGUGAGCUUCCAAAU